rnacentral:miRNA from 1 species
UGUCUUCUCUGGCCUGGUGAUGAUCUCAUACCUUGGUGAUGACCUCAGAAGACAGGUAGGCAGACGACAG